AAUUCUUGGAACUCUUGUAUUUUAAUUGUUUCAUUUCUUUGCAUGCUUGUGAUAGCCCUUGUUGAGGCUUAUUAUAUUGCUUUAUCUUUGUCCAAGCACAGGCCCUUGUUGAGGCCAUCAUUUGUUACAUUUGGGUUUUUAUUGUGAAUGGAUGAAUUGUUUGAUCCAAGUUUGGGGGGAAAUUUUAUCCCUUCACCUUAUACUCCUCCAUCAUAUGUUAAUCUUUAUGAGAUUGAGUUCAAUUCAUUUCAUGCAUCAUCUUAUUAUAGACUUGAUCACUCAUUUAAUCAUUCUCAUGACUAUUACCCUCCACCAUAAUUUUAUGAAGAACCAAAUCCACCACCUUCUAGGUACUCACCCGGAUUUGAAAAAAAAUUGUUAGCUUUACUUGAUGUGCAUAUUUCACAAACUCCACUUAUUAAUUCUCAUUCUCAAACUUUAGCCAAGCUUGAAGCUCAAGUUGAGCAAAUUGCAAGUACUCUUUCUCGUCAAGAGGAUGAGGAAGAGGCAAACGAAAAAAUGGCAAGAACUUCAAUGUAUAUAGAUGAGGAUGAUGAGAGUGAAGAGGAUGAAACAAGUGAGCUAAUGCCUAGCACUCUAUCUUGUAUAGAGGAGGAAGUGGUAAGUGAGUUAGUGGCUAAUCCAAUAGAGCAUAACAUGAUUAAUGAGGAUUUUCCUUGUUUUGAUUAUGAUUUUAUCUAUGACCUUGCUACUCUAGAGAGUAAGGAGAUGUUGACCACACUUGAGGUAGGAGAGAAGGAGGAGGAACUUGUUGAAGAUGGCCUUCCUUCUAUUAUCUCCAAUGACCCUCUUGAGGAAUGCCUUUUUGAAAUGUAUAAAAAUUGUGGUCUUGACUUUGAAAGCUCCAAAAAUGAAAUAAACUCUUUAAUGAACUCCUUAGCUUACUUGAAAGGUGAGGAGAUGGUUAUUUUUUAGGAAGAGAAGAGGGAUGAAAAGAAGGUGUUUCUUAAUAUUCCAAAUGAGUCUUUAAAAGACUUUCUCUUGCCAAGUGCAAGGCCGCUCAUCAUUGAUUUUAUUUUCAAGACCGUGGAUGACAAGAACAAUAUCAUCUCUUUCAUAUCUUUUCAAGUCAUUUUUUUGGAGGAUGAUUUCAUUGUCAUAAGUGGAACAUUAAAUGAGAAAAUGGAAAAGAGAGUCAAUAAGGAUGUUUCAUAUCCAGUUUUUGAUUCUUUUGAUUAGUGAGUUGGCCCAACGUCUUGCUAGAGACGUUAAACACUAGUAUUCGUAGAGUUUCACAACUCUAUUCCUUCCUCAUUUCUUUUUGUUUUUCAUUUCUUGCGAAGCCUAGAUAUUUGUUCUGGGUUCAUAUACAUUUCAAGGAACUGUGAUAAGGAUUGCAUGCACUUUCAUGUCAUAAUUGAACAUUUGGCACAAGUUCGAUCGAUCUCAAAUUGGAGUUCGAUCGAUCGAACUGUGGAUUGCACUCAACACUUAGAAAAAUUUUCGACCUGCAUCCACCUGCAUCCAAAUCACCUUUCUGUCCAAUCAAUCGAAAUUAAUUCCUAGAUCGAUCUGAAGUCUUCGAUCGAUCCAAUUUCAAGAUUCGAUCGAUCUUGAGUUUUGACACUUAGAAAAAUUUUGAGCCCUUUUUCAAUCCCAAAAUGUCAACUCUUGGGAUCUCCAUUUGAGUAUGUUUUCAUAUGUUCAAUCGAUCGAAAAUAUUCCUAGAUCGAUCUGAAGUUCUUCGAUCGAUCCAACUACAUCAUUGGAUCGAUCUCAAGUUCCAGCACUUAGAAAAUUUUUGAACCCAAAAACCUGCAUAUUUUCACCCCUCUCUGUCAGAUCGAUCGAGCAUUUUGUCAGAUCGAUCGAACAUGUCUGCAGGUUUUGAAAAUUUAUUUUUACUUUUACUUUUAUUUUUAUUUUUGUUUAUAUUUCAAAAAUCCCAAAAAUAUUUCUUUUAUUUUAUUUAGAUUAUUUUAGUUAUUUUAUUUUAUUUUUCAAAAAAAAAAAAAAAAAAAAAAUUCUUUUAUUCUAUUUUAUUUUGCUUCAUUUUAUCUUAUUUCCAAAAAUUCAAAAAUAUUUUGUUUAACUUUAAUUUUUCUUAAUUUUUAAAUUUUAAUUUUAAAAAAAAAUAUAUAUUUAUUUGCAUUCUUUAUUUCCUUGUAUUUUUACUUCUUACAUUUUUAUUUACUUACCUUUUUAUUUUUGUUUGUGUACAUAUUUGUUUUGUCUAUAGAAAAUAAUGAAAUAAUAAUAAUAAAUAAAAAAAGACGAUUUUUCAAUAUAGUAUUCCGUCUUGCUAGAGACCUUAAAUUUAGCACCCAUAUGACAUAUUGUGUCUCUUAUCUCUUGUAUCAUACAUGUUUAUUUUCAUUUUUCAUUUCUUUAUCUUUCUUGCAUUUUGUUUCAUUGUGCAUACUUUGAUUAAAAAAAAAAAAAGUUUUUAUUUUCAUUUUUUAUUAUUUUGUUCUUGCAUCAUUUCUUACUUUUUGUUUUUCAUUUAUUUCACUGUACAUAUUCUUUCAUUACAUUUUACCUUCUUUAUUUUUCUUUUCAUAUUUUGUUGAUACAUUUUACUCUUCGUUUUUCUUGCAUUUUGUAUAUACUUACUUUCAUUAAAUGAAAAAUAUUAAAAAAAAAAAAAGUUUCACCAUUGUGCCCUUGUGUGUAUUCAUGUUUUCAUGCAUUAAUUAGGGCUUGAUCUCAUAUCUCUCUUUCAUCUUGUGAUAUAUUGCCUCAGAAUGCUUGAUUAUUCUUAUCCCAUUCGAUAUUUAAUGUGAGUUUGCUAGUGUGGUUAUUCAAGUAGGUUGUUGAUUCCAAGUUUGGGGGAGACGUCUUUCGAAUUGGAUCACUACCGGGUUUCAUGUCUACAUUACCACGGUAUAUUCUUUCCAUCUUUUCCAUUGUUCUCAUUGCACAUUGAAGACAAUGUGCGGUUUAAGUUUGGGGGUAAGGUGUCUUGUUGCAUUCUACUUAAAGUUGAGUUUUAAUUGCAUGAUUGAGAUUUGGGAUUGAUGUUAUCUAUGAUUUUGAUCUUUUGAGGACUAUGUUGCUUAGAAUUUAAAAUUUGCAUGACUUGAGGGUACAAUACUCCUUGUAUGCCUUGUGGAAGCCAUUUAGGAGUAAAUUUUUCAAAAGAUUGAUAUCUUGCUUACACUUGUGGUCUUCAUCAUCUUGAUUUUGUGAUUGUUUUGAGAUUUAUUCUAGAAUUCUACACUAGCACAGACGUACACUAGCUUUCAUUUGUGGGGUACAUGCUUUGUUGAUUAUUGAAUUAGUUAUAUCCCAAUUGAGCUAGUAGUGCAUUGAAAACUUUCAUUCUUGAUAAAGGUGGAUAACAACCCCUUUUCACUAAGUAGCCGGGAUUCUAGCCUCAUCAAACACUGAACUUCUCACGCCGAAAGGUGGAGGGCCCAAACUCUACGUUAAUAAUUGAACUUGCUUUUUAAAAAUAAAAAAAAAUAAAAAAAAUAAAAAAAAAAGUUGCAAAAGUAAUAAAAAGUGAGGACUUCUCCCAAAAGGUGAGAAGUGGGAAAUGAUUAGAUGGAGGUUGUCUUGAUUUGUAACCUAAUUGAUUUGAGCUUGUAAGUCCGUAGGGGUGUUUGAACACCUAGUGCCCUAAAGCCGUCUGGUUUGGGAGUCAUUGACCUAACGCUCGAUCUCAUGAAUCACUAGAAAGUUUAAGAGAUCAACACAUUGCACUAUGCUUCCAUCUGUGAUCCUAAAAAAAAAAAAAAAAAUUUGAGUGAAAAGAAUAAGCAUACCUAGAACAAUAAAGCUUUAAUAAAAGGUCCACUUUUUGUCUUGAUGAUCGGUACUAGAUUUGUGUGCUAGUUUGAGGGUAAUGAUGUGAUUAAUUCUUAAGGAUUCUAGAGUUGUUUUGAUUUGCAGGAUCAUUUUCUUGAUGUGUGGAGGAUUAUAUUUGCUUGCUUGAUAUUGAGAUUUUGGGAGAUUGCUUGGAAAUGGUUGAAAAAUUGCAUACUUGAGGUUAAUAAUGUUAAAAUGGGCUAAAAAUGGAUUCUUAAGGCUCUUUUGGAGUCAAACUAAGUCUUGGAGAGGAUUCGGAGCAAAAUGAGGUUGAUUUGGAGCAAAAAGAGGCUGAUCCUGAAAAGCUGCCAUGUGAGAUCGAUCAGAAAAGUGAGAUCGAUCAAAGUUGGAUCGAUCAAAAAUCAAAGUUGGAUCGAUCGAACUUUUCUCUGAUCGAUUGAACUUUUUCUUUGAUCGAUCGAACAUUGCUGGCAGUGAGCUGUCUUAUUCCGUGCGCACCCAAAAGUCCACUUAUCACAUAGUACGAGAUUAGAUAUUUUUGGGGCUAUAUUCCUGACUUAGUGACUAAGAAAAUGACCUUCUAUAUAAAGGGAAGUGACCCAUUUGUAAAGGAGCUUUUAUCAUUUUUAUUUUUUCAUUGUAUUUUUUAUUUCUCUCUAUAGCAAAGUUAGAGAUUAGGGUUAGAAGAAAAGGGGGGAAGUGGAGGCACAUCUCAAGAUCCAUCUCUAGACCACUCUCUCUCUCCAUCUCUAAAGCUUCAAAGAAGAAAAAGAAGAAGAGGAAGAAGAAGAUGGAGCCAUAUUUGGAGCUUGAUUCCAUGACCACAUCCACCACCUCCAUGAUUGGCUAGAUCUAUACUUAGGGGUUGGAUGAGCCCUAAGUCUUGUGUAAUCUAAACCCUUGUAUUUCUAUUUUGGGGGAUUUAUAUAUAUUAUUGUGAUUACUGUUCUAGCCUUGUGAAUUUAAUGAAUCUUGGUAUAUUUCUAUGAUUUC